ACAGUUUCUCAGCGCCCACGUCGCCUCCUCUCUCACCAAUAUCCGCCGCGCUUGCCGCAUGUUGAGUCUCCCCGAGCAGAUCGCCAUUGUCCCUGCACCAAGCACACCGGAGAAAUGACGUCGGCCACGAACCUCCGUCCCAAGGCUUGCGGCUCUUGGGAAACUGUCGUGUUCACUCCCCGCCGCGCCGGAGCUCCGUUAAGCCGUUGCCGCGACAUUCUCCGUCGAGAUCCGUUUCGAGGUGAGAAAAUAUCAUGCGUCGUUUGAUUUCUUUUCUCGGACCUCGUCUUGAUGUCGAUCUGCUAUCACUCACCCCAAUGCCGCGCUGCUGUCUGCUACCCUGCCUUGCCCGCUAUGCCACCGUGUUGUAGAGAUGUAGCCGCGCCGGCCAUGGUCGUCAGCCGUCGUGCAUCAACACAGCACUUGCCGAGCCUCACCGUUGCUGCUCCGCAAGUCGCCACGCAUGCUCGUGAUAGUGUCCCCUCCCACCGGCAUCGCCUCGCCCCCUGGCCUCCACUUCCCCAGCGCGACAGGAUCCAUCCCACCCCUGUGCAGUGCUCGUGCGUCCAGCCAUGGGCAGGCGCGAUGACGCCCGGGCAUGUGUGUCCCCUGCUGGUAGCGCAGCUGGCUGCCUCAGCCGAACCCGCCCUCGUCUAGCUCCUGCAGCUCCUGCCGAGUCCCAUGGAUGGUCCUCUCUCUCUUCUAUGCUGCUGUUCAACGAAGAAGAAAGCCCCUCGCCGUGUCCGUGCGGUUGUAAAAAGAAUGGGAAGAAGCUAGCCACAUGUGAUCCUAAGCUUGGGAUCUUCUAUGGCUACGUCUGGUGAGACCAUAGGUGUGGCCAACCGCUAGCAAUAAUAAUUAGCCGCAUCGCUUAAAAUCUCUGAAGUAUUAAAUAUUUGAUAUAUGUUGUGUUAUAAAUCCAAUUCUCUUCGUUCAAUUUGCAUGAGCUUCGUAAUAUCGUCACCGACGAGUUAAUAAUAUUAUUAUAUCGUGCCACAUUUUUUAACUAAUUAAUUGAUCAUUUGUUUAUCCGAUGGUUAUUAAAGUAGUGACCUAAUCAAAACUAAUGUAUAAUUUUAAUUUGCGCAAGUAUAAAUAAACGUUAACAUGAGUCAUGCCAACCUAAAUAUUUAUUUAGUUGUUUAUUUAACAUUUGUUCAUUGUAAACACGACAUCUGUUAAUGGUUCCCCGCUCGUCGCGCUGUUCACGCACGUCGUCGCCUCGCUGUAGCGUUUGCGAGUUCACAGCUUGCGAUGUAGCCGCGCAUUGCUUGCGAGUUGUCGCAUGUGCUGCUCGUGCUUUUCGCACUCGCCUCUCGUGUUGUUCGCAUAUGUGGCGCUCGUUGUCGUCGUGUUGUUCGUGCGUCUAGUUCGUGCGUUAUUCGCGUGUUGUCGCGCGUCGUUCACGCGUGUCAUGCGUGCUGUUCGCACACGUUGUCACACGUCGUUUGUGUGCGUCGUGUGUGCCAUUUAUACAUGUCGCUCGCCUUGUCGCGCAUUGUUCACGCGUAUCUCGCUUGUCGAUCACGUGUGUCGCACGGUGUCUGCGUGUGAUAAUAAAUUGUUUUAGCUUAUAAGCACUCAUGUUAGUACCGUUAAUCCAUCAGGUCAUAUAUGUUAGAUAAUUAACUUAAGAUUCGCUCGACUAAUAUUUAUUAGACUAAUAUUUCAAUUAGAUUAAAUAUGUACUGUUCAACUGCGCUUUUAUAAUAAAUAUUAACAUGACCAAUAUUAACUUAACUGCUUUUAAUUAUUUAAUAUUGGUUUGGUAUAAACGCAUCACCUAUUUAGUUUUCCUCGUCUCGCACGCGUGUUGUUCCGCACUUGGUGGCGUGCUGGUUGGCGCGACGUUCGCGCUCGUCGCGCGCGCUGUUUCGUGUAUCGUCAGCGUGCUAUGUCGCGCGUGUCCGCGCGUCGUUUGCACGCUGUCGUGUUGUUUCACGUGUCAUAAAUUCAUCUCGCUUAGAAUCUCUCUUUUUAAUUAAAUUAUUUAUUUAACUGAUAGCCGUUAGUGUAGCAGAUUAAUUGAACUGGCUGAUGUAUAAUAUUUAUAUUUGACAAAGUUGAACUAAAAGUUAUAGCUAAUACUUGUUCGACGUUAACGCGCCAACUUCCCAACCGUAGCUCCGAUUAUCGCAUUUCUUUUUCCUCGCGUGACCGUAGUAACACGCUCUAUUUCGUUUUGCAUGCUUUAUUAUGUUCUCCUUGGCAUGGUGUAAUGUUCUUAUGCAUAUAUAUGUUUGUUUGCUUUUGCCUGUUUGUCUUUGCUUUGCGUCGCGAAUAGAUUGCGAUCUGUUUCCGAGCUUCAAGGGAUCAAAGAUCGAGCGUUGGCGACCAAGAGAUCAAGCUUUUUGAGGUCUACAACAUUGAACACCCUGAGCAUCUGUUUGGUGAAGGCAAGUGUUCUCUGACCCAUUAUGUCCCAUUUACUUUAUAAUACACUGUCCCGCAUACUAUGAACAACCUAAGGAUUUACUAGCUUUCUAUUUACCUUGUCCUUGAUUUACCGUUUGGGUUACUAUAGUUAGCUACAUGCUAGCGCUUUACUUUAAUCAAUGAACAUGAUGAGAUACAAUAAUGAUACUAUGAUUUUAUUCUGGAUAUGAUGAUAUACUUGUGGCAUUUAGGGGACUCGGGUUGUUUCCCGAGUACCUCUCCGUAAGGACCUGUUCGUUGAGAGACCACCCGGGAUAACAGUGCAACCAUGAGGGUGAAAUGGGAUGCCCUUAGCUAAUUAAUUAGAGGAACUAGAGGUGUAGUUGCUUCGCCGUCGUGCCGUCAAUGGGGUCCAGGCACAGUGCUUGCUCUGCCGAGGCUGGGUGCCGAGGUUCUUUCGUUUUGCUUUUGUUAGUCACCCCUCUUCGGGGAGAGGUACUGUGUUUAUCAAACUGGAGAAACCUAACGGGCGGCUAUGACCUCUAGGGAAUCUUUGUAAAAGCUACGUAGUGAUACCCUGCCGGACCACCUAGGAAGUGAUCAAUGGGGAGUCAUGAUCCCCGGGAAAAAAGGGAAUCACGGCUCAUGGGUAAAGUGUGCGACCUCUGCAGAGGAUUAGAAACUGAUAUAUCAGUCGUGCUCACGGUUAUGAGCGACCUUGGGAUCCUCUUUGAUUAGAAAUACAUAUGAUAUGAGAUACAAUGGUUCUAUUGAUAGUUUUGACUCGAUGAUGAUAAUGAUGUUUUCUCGAUGAGGAAAUGGUUCACGGGUUGGCUAUUACUAAAACUUGGCUUCCACUAAUAAUAAAUACUUGACCAACUAAAAGCAAUUGCUAGAGCUUAACCCCACAUAAAGCUAGUCCACUACAGUCAAACGGGACAUUUGCUGAGUACGUUGAUGUGUACUCACCCUUGCUUUCACAAAACACUAGGUUGCCUUUGGUGCAAUCUAUGCUCAGGUAAAGAAGAAGGCAUCGAGGCGGAUCUCCAGGAGUUCUAGGGCUUCGAUGAGUUCGAGGAUUAGGCUAGCGACCUCCCCCAGUCAGCUGCCUGUGGUGGGUUUAUUUACGUUGGCUACGUUUCUAUUCUGUGUACUUUGAUUUUACUAUGUAAAUGACUCUAGUCUUUCAUAUUAUUACUUACCCUUUAUUGUUAUUCGAAGCAUUGUGCCAUGAUGAGUCAUUUAUGUAAUCGCUAUGUACGUGAGUUCUGAUCCUGGCACGUACAUGGUUCGCAUUCGGUUUACCUUCCAAAACCGGGUGUGACAUAAGUGGUAUCAAAGCCUUGCUGACUGUAGGACCGCUAUCCUAGAGUAGCACUGGCCAUUUUAAGGACUUAUUGAUUAUUACUUCACCUCAUCCUUGAUUCUGAUUCAAAAUAUUAGUCACCUCGACUAAUUCUAUGUUGUGCUCCUAUAUGCCCCCUUGCCAAAAAGUAUUUUAUUCUAGUAUGGUCUAUACUUCUCUCAAUCUAUUAGAUCUGAUCUCACUCUUGUGCUUGCGUCAUCUUUGUAGAUGCCCCCUGACCAUAACCUUCUUGUCUUUUUGGGAUUCUUUUCUCUUUCGUCAUUAAAUUGCUACUAUCUGGCAAACUCUAGUCCUUUGGUAUUGACAUGCUUGUAUUCCUUUAAUACUCUUGUUUCAAGUACUUACCUCUGAAUUUAUACUGCCUACUUAAACACUUUAGUUUAUAUGUCCAUGAUCAUCCUGUCUUUUGAGACCCUUUCCUAUUCUGUUGUUAAGUUGCUAUCUUUCGGCAAUUCGUACUCCCUUGGUCUCGGUAUGCUUGCACCUUCGUAAUCUUGCAUACUCUUACUUUUUAUAUAAAUGCUUACCUUUGUACCCCAAUGUUUGUUUAACAUUUCAGUUUACAUACUCUUGACCACAUUUGUUUCUUCAUGAUCCAUGAGCGAUCGUUCCAUUCCUCACAUCCUUAAUGAUCUCAUCGUUUCCAUAUAACCUCCCUCGGUAAUAUUUUAUUUUACUUCAACCAUUAUGUUGGAACCUUACCUACCUUACUCGUGAUUGUUUUCUCCAUUUCGCCAUUUCGUGAGUCUUGCCUUAACUCCAUCCUUUCUUAUGCUCUUCAUUAUUACCACCUUUACCCUUGACACUUCUAUAUAUUGCAUUGAUGUUCAUCUUAUACCUACCCUUUAAAAUCUCCUCUCUUCCAUCUCAAUCUGAGAGUUGUAACUUACCGACUUUUUCCUUGGUCAUAUCCUCUUCUUUGUCACCUGCGAGUUUUUAACUCUAUCCUUUGUUGUGUUUUGUUUGUUAUUUCCUUUACCCUUCUCAUCACUCUAUCCUACCUUGUGAUUACGUUAUGUCUGUUAUCUAAAAUCUCCAAUCUCCUAUCUCAAUGUGAGAGCGGUGUUUUACUUACCUCACCCUUGGCUAUAUCCUCUUCUUUACCGCUUGUAAGCUUGGGCGCAACUCUAUUCUUUGUUGUACUCAUACCACUGGCUCUCUAAUGCCUUCAUCUUUUCUCUCAUACCCUUGUAUGUUGUCGCCUUUGACCCUUGCAAUAUUGAGGCCUUCUACCUAAAUGUUUACUUUGAACCCAUUCUUUAAAAGUCUCCCCUUUCUUUCAACCCAGUUUGAGAGAUGUGAGUUACCUAUCUCUCCCUUGAUUUCUUUUCACUUCUUAUCACUUUACAAGUUUUGUCUUAAUUCCAUCCUUUGCUGUGUGUUUUAUUUGCUAUCACCAUUACCUUGUCAUCCAUCGGUCUUGCCUUGAUACUUAUCUUUAUUAUUGCUCUUUAAAAAAAUCUCCUCUCUUCCACCUCAAUUUGAGAGUGGCAGUUUACCUAUCUGGCCCAUGGACGUACCCUCUCCCUUUCCAUUUUCAGGUCUUGUCUUAACACCAUCCUUUGUGGUAUUUAUAUUCUUGGUUCUUAUGCACAUUUACCUCCUCUCCUACAUCCUUGUUCGUUAUCACCUUUAAACCCUCGUGAUACCUAUGCCCUUGCCACAUGCCUACUUUGAACCUACCCUUUAAAACCACCUCUUUUUCAUCGCUGUUUGAGGAUAAUGCCUCACCUACUUCACCAUUGAUUGCUUCCCCUUCUUUGAUGCCUCACAAGUUUUGUCUAAAAUACAUCCUUGGUUGUGUUUGUCUGUUAUCACCUUAACCCUUGUCAUCCAUCGAUCUUUACCUUGAUGCUUAUCAUGUACCCGUAUUUUAAAGCUUCCUCUCCCAUUUGAGUUUAAGAGUGUUGUCUUACCUCUCCUCGCUCUUGUUCGCUCCCUAUUCCUAUGUCGUGUUGCAAGUCUUGUCUUAACUCGAUCUUUUGGUGUGCUUUUGCCUGUUACCUCUUGUACCUUUGUAAUCACUAGAUCUUUCCAUGAUGCUUAUCCUAUGCCUACCUUUUGAAAUAUCUUCUUUCCCAUCUCGAUGUGAGAAUGGUGUUUUACCUAUCCUGACCUUGGUUGCAUUCUCUCCCUGUCGGUUACAAUUCUGGCUUUAGCUCCAUCCUUUAUUAUGCUCAUGCCUCUAUCCUGCAUGUAUUAUUAUUCCCCUUGCCUUUCAAUGGCCUUAGUGUAGUUUCCCCUUUGUAAGGAAAGACCACCAUCUAGUUAACAUUAACGUGUAGCAACGAGAUGCCUGUUGUUGUGUGCUUGUGUUGUUUGUCUUUGUGUGAUGACUGAUUUGCUUCUUUGUGAUGAGUGUUGAUGUGUUGUGGCCCUUGGUCCGCAAUGACAUCAGUUACUAGCUGAGUGCCAUAGAGUUAAGUAGUUGGGUUCUCCCCCUGCUCUCUCUAAUCCGUCUAUACUUACCUUUUCUCGCUACCCUUCCCUCUUGCACCUGUCUGGUUGGCAACCUCCAACUCCUCUAAAUCAGUCAAGAUCAGAGUCGGCAACAUCUUCACCAAGUGCAUAUCGACGCUCCUGUUAAGGGGGUUAGCCGCUAACUCCAAUGAAGACAAUGUGAUCAACAUCAACAAACAAGAUCAAAGUGCGCAGCGGAAGCGUGUGUGGGUCCUAACCCACAGGUCUAAGAGAUCCUCAAGAAUUGCAUCAAUCGGUCUCAAGCAUCUGAAGGUCAAAGCAACCAGUCCGCAAGUUAAGGUUUCCAGAGUCAAAGUUGAGUUAGGAGAAGCCAUGAAAGACCAAUGAACCAAUCUCAUUUUCUUGCUAGCCUCUUCUUGAAUCUCGAGGGCGAGAUUCUGUUAAGGGGGUUAGAUUUGUAACACCCUGAAUUUGGGGUAUAAAAUUUUUUUCUAAUAUUCACCAAAUUCAGUUUUUACUCCCUUCUUUACUUGCUUUUCUUCUGUUUUUCUAGAUAAUGGACAUUAAAUUUAUUAUAUAUAUAUAUAUAUAAAUAUAUCAGUUUUUGGCGUAGUAAAAUAAAACCCCAAAGAAACUUUGAUUGUUGCAUUGAUGUCGUUGUAUAGUGUUUCUAAGGGUAAAGCAUAUUUGAACAUGUUAAUAUACCUCGUAGAAGUUUCUAGUAAAAUUUUCAUAUUUUUCUGAGGUUUUCCGUUUUCCAAAAAUAAAAUCAAAACCUAUGUAUUUGAGACACCUAAAAAUAUUUUUAGAGACUCCAAAUAUUUUAUUUGUGUUGUUUAGGUGUAUGCCUUAAUUACUAAUUAAUUUCCUUUGGUCUUAACUCCAAAAAGAAAAUCCCUAUACCUAUUUUUUUUUCUUUCCUCACGUGGGUUGCAUGGAGGAGGAAUUAUAUUGGUUUUUCUUUUUUCUUUUCAUUGCAUGCGGAAGUUAGGCUAGAUGCAGUUUCGUUGCCACCUCUUUGCAUGCACGCGUCCGAGGCUUUCUCCUGCUGGUGCGGACGUACAGUUUCUCAGUGCCCACGUCGCCUCCUCUCUCACCAAUAUCCGCCGCGCUUGCCGCAUGUUGAGUCUCCCCGAGUAGAUCGCCAUUGUCCCUGCACCAAGCACACCGGAGAACUGACGUCGGCCACGAACCUCCGUCCCAAGGCUUGCGGCUCUUGGGAAACUGCCGUGUUCACUCCCCGCCGCGCCGGAGCUCCGUUAAGCCGUUGCCGCGACAUUCUCCGUCGAGAUCCGUUUCGAGGUGAGAAAAUAUCAUGCGUCGUUUGAUUUCUUUUCUCGGACCUCGUCUUGAUGUCGAUCUGCUAUCACUCACCCCAACGUCGCGCUGCUGUCUGCUACCCUGCCUUGCCCGCUAUGCCACCGUGUUGUAGAGAUGUAGUCGCGUCGGCCAUGGUCGUCAGCCGUCGUGCAUCAACACAGCGCUUGCCGAGCCUCACCGUUGCUGCUCCGCAAGUCGCCACACAUGCUCGUGAUAGUGUCCCCUCCCACCGGCAUCGCCUCGCCCCCUGGCCUCCACUUCCCCAGCGCGACAGGAUCCAUCCCACCCCUGUGCAGUGCUCGUGCGUCCAGCCAUGGGCAGGCGCGAUGACGCCCGGGCAUGUGUGUCCCCUGCUGGUAGCGCAGCUGGCUGCCUCAGCCGAACCCGCCCUCGUCUAGCUCCUGCAGCUCCUGCCGAGUCCCAUGGAUGGUCAUCUCUCUCUUCUAUGCUGCUGUUCAACGAAGAAGAAAGCCCCUUGCCGUGUCCGUGCGGUUGUAAAAAGAAUGGGAAGAAGCUAGCCACAUGUGAUCCUAAGCUUGGGAUCUUCUAUGGCUACGUCUGGUGAGACCAUAGGUGUGGCCAACCGCUAGCAAUAAUAAUUAGCCGCAUCGCUUAAAAUCUCUGAAGUAUUAAAUAUUUGAUAUAUGUUGCGUUAUAAAUCCAAUUCUCUUCGUUCAAUUUGCAUGAGCUUCGUAAUAUCGUCACCGACGAGUUAAUAAUAUUAUUAUAUCGUGCCACAUUUUUUAACUAAUUAAUUGAUCAUUUGUUUAUCCGAUGGUUAUUAAAGUAGUGACCUAAUCAAAACUAAUGUAUAAUUUUAAUUUGCGCAAGUAUAAAUAAACGUUAACAUGAGUCAUGCCAACCUAAAUAUUUAUUUAGUUGUUUAUUUAACAUUUGUUCAUUGUAAACACGACAUCUGUUAAUGGUUCCCCGCUCGUCGCGCUGUUCACGCACGUCGUCUCCUCGCUGUAGCGUUUGCGAGUUCACAGCUUGCGAUGUAGCCGCGCAUUGCUUGCGAGUUGUCGCAUGUGCUGCUCGUGCUUUUCGCACUCGCCUCUCGUGCUGUUCGCAUAUGUGGUGCUCGUUGUCGUCGUGUUGUUCGUGCGUCUAGUUCGUGCGUUAUUCGCGUGUUGUCGCGCGUCGUUCACGCGUGUCAUGCGUGCUGUUCGCACACGUUGUCACACGUCGUUUGCGUGCGUCGUGUGUGCCAUUUAUACAUGUCGCUCGCCUUGCCGCGCAUUGUUCACGCGUAUCUCGCUUGUCGAUCACGUGUGUCGCACGGCGUCUGCGUGUGAUAAUAAAUUGUUUUAGCUUAUAAGCACUCAUGUUAGUACCGUUAAUCCAUCAGGUCAUAUAUGUUAGAUAAUUAACUUAAGAUUCGCUCGACUAAUAUUUAUUAGACUAAUAUUUCAAUUAGAUUAAAUAUGUAUUGUUCAACUGCGCUUUUAUAAUAAAUAUUAACAUGACCAAUAUUAACUUAACUGCUUUUAAUUAUUUAAUAUUGGUUUGGUAUAAACGCAUCACCUAUUUAGUUUUCCUCGUCUGGCACGCGUGUUGUUCCGCACUUGGUGGCGUGCUGGUUGGCGCGACGUUCGCGCUCGUCGCGCGCGCUGUUUCGUGUAUCGUCAGCGUGCUAUGUCGCGCGUGUCCGCGCGUCAUUUGCAUGCUGUCGUGCUGUUUCACGUGUCAUAAAUUCAUCUCGCUUAGAAUCUCUCUUUUUAAUUAAAUUAUUUAUUUAACUGAUAGCCGUUAGUGUAGCAGAUUAAUUGAACUGGCUGAUGUAUAAUAUUUAUAUUUGACAAAGUUGAACUAAAAGUUAUAGCUAAUACUUGUUCAACGUUAACGCGCCAACUUCCCAACCGUAGCUUCGACUAUCGCAUUUCUUUUUCCUCGCGUGACCGUAGUAACGCGCUCUAUUUCGUUUUGCAUGCUUUAUUAUGUUCUCUUUGGCAUGGUGUAAUGUUCUUAUGCAUAUAUAUGUUUGUUUGCUUGUGUCUGUUUGUCUUUGCUUUGCGUCGCGAAUAGAUUGCGAUCUAUUUCCGAGCUUCAAGGGAUCAAAGAUCGAGCGUUGGCGACCAAGAGAUCAAGCUUUUUGAGGUCUACAACAUUGAACACCAUGAGCAUCUGUUUGGUGAAG
rnacentral:lncRNA from 1 species